rnacentral:rRNA from 1 species
AACGUAGGUGGCGAGCGUUAUCCGGAUUUACUGGGCGUAAAGCGUGUGCAGGCGGGGAGACAAGUGGGGGAUGAAAUUUCCCGGCUUAACCGGGAAGGGUUAUGCCAGACUGUCUUUCUGGAGUGCGAGAGAGGGGCGUGGAAUUCCGGGUGUAGUGGUGAAAUGCGUAGAGAUCCGGAGGAACCCCAGAGGCGAAGGCGGCGCCCUGGGGAGUACCUGACGCUCAGGUGCGAAAGCCAGGGGAGCGAACGGG